AUUGAACGCUGGCGGCAUGCCUUACACAUGCAAGUCGAACGGUACAGGUCUUCGGACGCUGACGAGUGGCGAACGGGUGAGUAAUACAUCGGAACGUGCCCGAUCGUGGGGGAUAACGUAGCGAAAGUUACGCUAAUACCGCAUACGCCCUGAGGGGGAAAGCGGGGGAUUCGUAAGAACCUCGCGCAAUUAGAGCGGCCGAUGCCUGAUUAGCUUGUUGGUGGGGUAAAAGCCCACCAAGGCGACGAUCAGUAGCUGGUCUGAGAGGACGACCAGCCACACUGGGACUGAGACACGGCCCAGACUCCUACGGGAGGCAGCAGUGGGGAAUUUUGGACAAUGGGCGCAAGCCUGAUCCAGCAAUGCCGCGUGCAGGAAGAAGGCCUUCGGGUUGUAAACUGCUUUUGUACGGAACGAAACGGUCUGGGUUAAUACCCUGGGCUAAUGACGGUACCGUAAGAAUAAGCACCGGCUAACUACGUG
rnacentral:rRNA from 1 species